rnacentral:rRNA from 1 species
GAUGAACGCUGGCGGCGUGCCUAAUACAUGCAAGUCGAGCGAACAGACGAGGAGCUUGCUCCUCUGACGUUAGCGGCGGACGGGUGAGUAACACGUGGAUAACCUACCUAUAAGACUGGGAUAACUUCGGGAAACCGGAGCUAAUACCGGAUAAUAUAUUGAACCGCAUGGUUCAAUAGUGAAAGACGGUUUUGCUGUCACUUAUAGAUGGAUCCGCGCCGCAUUAGCUAGUUGGUAAGGUAACGGCUUACCAAGGCAACGAUGCGUAGCCGACCUGAGAGGGUGAUCGGCCACACUGGAACGGAGACACGGUCCAGACUCCUACGGGAGGCAGCAGUAGGGAAUCGGCCGCAAUGGGCGAAAGCCUGACGGAGCAACGCCGCGUGAGUGAUGAAGGUCUUCGGAUCGUAAAACUCUGUUAUUAGGGAAGAACAAAUGUGUAAGUAACUAUGCACGUCUUGACGGUACCUAAUCAGAAAGCCACGGCUAACUACGUG